GGGAAUAUGGCUUAGUGGUAGAGUGCUUGCCUACCAUGCAUGAAGCCCUGGGUUCAAUUCCUCAGUACCA
rnacentral:tRNA from 1 species